CUCCACUUUGCCUCUCUCCCUUCUCCCUGGACACCCUUCUCUCCCCCAUCCCCUUCCUUCCAGCUGUGUGAACAUCUCAAUCGUACCAUGUCGGCAGAUCCUUGCUGGCCUGACAUUUUAUCCUAGGACACCCCUGAGAUGCUCCAGUGGGAGAAACUGGAUGUACCAAAGGGCAGGAUAGCUGGAAGCCGGAGAUGAGAGAAGACAGGCUCCAGGAGAAGAAAAAAGAAAGAGAGAAAGAAAGAAACUUCUCGUUGUCAGAAUCGGAAUGCAUAUCAGUUAUGCUGGAGACAAUGAAAACAUCAAAAAGCACAUACAAGCCAUAAAAAAUUCAGGUCCUCUGAAGCAAUGUGGGACACGCUUGGUUGCGCUCCUCAUUUGCAUGUCAGUACCCACAAUGCUCUGCUGGCUCCCAGAUCUUUCUGAGCAGCCCCAGUGUCUGAGCUCUAGGGAACAAAGUGAAAGGUUCGUGUGUGCUCGUGGGUGAGACAGAGCUGGUGAAGGCACGCUGUGCAGCCUUUAGAAGCCCUGACUGAUGGGGUUGCUACACCACUUGCCUGGAAUUGGAGAUUUGGGGUCAGCCUGUGUCUUCUGAUGCUGGCCCGCAUUCCAAGACGUGUUGGCCUCUUCAGCAUUUGGGCUCCUGAGGACGGUCCCUGCUUGGUCAACGUGAAAACGUAGAGGUGUGACCCUGACCUGCUGCUGGGGACCCAAGGGGAACACGCUGACUUCACUCUUUCCUCCCAAGCACAACACUUUUCUCUGCAAACGUCGCUCCCCUGGACCCCCGCAGAGCCAUGGUCUGCACAUUCCAAAUCCCAGGGGGGCAGAUAGGAAUACAGGGCCCAAAUUAGAAGUCCUUGGAGGCAGGGACAUACAUUUGGUCCCUGACUUGGUGUCCCCAGCCUCCUGGGUGGUCUUGGGGGUGUUACUUGCUCCCUACCAUUCCUCCGUUCCUUCCCAAGCCUGUCCUGUGCUGGGAGGAUCUACAGAGCUUGGGUGGCUAUCACAUCUGCGAUUUUAACAUGGCCAGCCAUUCUGGGACAUGACAAAAUAUGUAAAAAAUAAAAGUAAAGCUCGAUCUUUGAGGCUCCUACCUGGAAGGUUUUUGUCUGGGCUUGUACUUUGAUUUUUGAGCUUCACUUUUCUCAAAGCUGCAAAGGAGUUCUCAGGCUAGAUUAAUUUAGCGGUAGGGAGAUGCGGGCGGAGGAGCGAAUGUGGCUACAUGCGGGCUCUCAACCCACCCCUGACAACCCCCAAGCAUCAGAGGUAAGAUAAAAGUUAGCCCCCACCUAGAAUUCAGAAGCUGGAUCCAGCAGACAGGUUGGUUUGCUUCAGCCUAUACACAGUGCUGUAAAAUGUGUUUCAGUGGUCGCCAACAUUUGAAAAUCAGGAGCUUUUGCAGCAUUUCUUAAGACAUCUGAAGAUUGGACUACACUAGGCCUACAUUUCUUCAUAGUAACCUAGAAGCAGCAGCCCCCGGGGGUGGUGGAGGCUCCCCUCUCCUGCCGGGCCUGCCUUCUCUGGCCCACCCAAGUCUUCCAAGUCCACUCACUCCACCUACCUAUAAUCCUAUCUCGAUUUUGCAGGCUCAGCCUUGGCCAGACUCAUGCUCUGAAUCUCUGAGUUUCCCUACUUUGUUACCAGUCACAUCUGCAUAAGGAUAACCCAGCUUCUGCCUAGCUCUGACAGCUUUUCCUAGUGGGCAUACAGGGGAACCAGGACCAAGGGCCCUGACUUAUAAACACCCCCAGCUUUUCACCUCAAUCCCCAAACAUGCUUGGGGGCUGCUUCAGCAAAUGUGUUUUUCACCUGCUACAGCCCAAGGAGUCUGCUCCAGCCUCCUGGCUCUUCUUGGCACACACGUUUCCCUUCACUUCUGAUGCCUCAAGUAGUCUGAGGUGAGGGGUGGGUUGCAAGGUUUGGAUUUUUCAAAAUUCUUUCCCAGGUUUGUUGUGUCUAAUUUGGGCUGCAAAUGGUUUUUGGUGUCAACGGCUAACCACUGUUUGGUCUGAACAUUCAACUCUGUUGAAUUUAGAUGGCGGUGAAAGCCCAGUUUCUCCAAAUACAGUCUAAAUACAUUCACACAUUUAUUCCCACAUGUAUCUUUAUGUUUCUGCCUGUCUCACCACACCUCAGACAUGUUCAUGGACGGGAGUGUCCUGGGAAGAAAACGGGCAGGUAACUUGACCCUCUACUGUAAACUUCAUAAAAAGAAAAAUCAUUUUUGACCCAAACAGAUGGUGCAUAAUAAAGAUGCAUCCAAGCAAGGGUGUUCGCAUGAGAGCUUGGACACGAGUUCUGUUGUUUUCCUACAACCUAAAAGACAAAUAGUAUCUCUAGAGAGAAGGAGAAAUAGAAAGUUGAGAAAUUUAAGAAAAAGGUCACUUUUGAAAAUUAUCUCCCUCUCCCCCCGCCAAAAAAA